rnacentral:rRNA from 1 species
UAUUGGACAAUGGGGGGAACCCUGAUCCAGCCAUGCCGCGUGUGUGAAGAAGGCCUUAUGGUUGUAAAGCACUUUAAGCGAGGAGGAGGCUCUUCUAGUUACUACCUAGGAUGAGUGGACGUUACUCGCAUAAUAAGCACCGGCUAACUCUGUGCCAGCAGCCGCGGUAAUACAGAGGGUGCGAGCGUUAAUCGGAUUUACUGGGCGUAAAGCGUGCGUAGGCGGCUUUUUAAGUCGGAUGUGAAAUCCCCGAGCUUAACUUGGGAAUUGCAUUCGAUACUGGGAAGCUAGAGUAUGGGAGAGGAUGGUAGAAUUCCAGGUGUAGCGGUGAAAUGCGUAGAGAUCUGGAGGAAUACCGAUGGCGAAGGCAGCCAUCUGGCCUAAUACUGACGCUGAGGUACGAAAGCAUGGGGAGCAAACAGG